UACAGAGGUGGCAAGCGUUGUUCGGAAUUACUGGGCGUAAAGGGAGCGUAGGCGGCCCUCUCAGUCAGACGUGAAAUCCCCAGGCUUAACUUGGGAACUGCGUCUGAUACUGGAGGGCUUGAGUGCGGGAGAGGGAUGUGGAAUUCCAGGUGUAGCGGUGAAAUGCGUAGAUAUCUGGAGGAACACCGGUGGCGAAGGCGGCAUCCUGGACCGACACUGACGCUGAGGCGCGAAAGCUAGGGGAGCAAACGGG
rnacentral:rRNA from 1 species